CCUACGGGUGGCAGCAGUGGGGGAUAUUGCACAAUGGGGGGAACCCUGAUGCAGCGACGCCGCGUGUGGGAAGACGGUCCUCUGGAUUGUAAACCACUGUCCCCAGGGACGAAAAUGACGGUACCUGGGGAGGAUGCUUCGGCUAACUACGUGCCAGCAGCCGCGGUAAUACGUAGGGAGCGCGCGUUGUCCGGAUUUACGGGGUGUAAGGGGAGCGUAGGGGGGUGUGCAAGGUGUGGUGAAAAACUACGGGCUCAACUGGUAGUCGCACUCGAAACUGCAGCUCUUGAGUGAAGUAGAGGCAGGCGGAAUUCCUAGUGUAGCGGUGAAAUGCGUAGAUAUUAGGAAGAACACCAGUGGCGAAGGCGGCCUGCUGGGCUUUUACUGACGCUGAGGCUCGAAAGUGUGGGGAGCAAACAGGAUUAGAUACCCCUGUAGUC
rnacentral:rRNA from 1 species